rnacentral:tRNA from 1 species
UAGCUCAGUUGGUUAGAGCGCACCCCUGAUAAGGGUGAGGUCGGUGGUUCGAAUC